AGAAAUUUUCCUUAAAAGAAAUUACUGUGUCUGAAGCUUCAAUUUACAUUAGGAUCAGUUUCAUCAUUUGAUAUAGAAACGUGAUGGAUACUUAUAAUAAGAGACUAUCAUGUUCACAAGCUUUAAUAACGUUUAUCAUAGCAAUGAGCUUUCAGUAAUUAUAUGUAUUGUGAGAAAAGCAAGAUGUAAUUCUUCAAAGUCUUGAUAAGGAGAAUUAGUAAGAAAUGGGGAGAAUUUAAAUGUAAAUACCAUCAAUUAUGUAUCACUUAAAUAAAUGUACAAGAAAAAUGGAGAAUGGAGAAAAAUUAUUUCUUCCCACGACUCCAAAAAAAGAUUGAAGCCUGAUACGAUACCAUCCAAUGUUCCAAGCUUAAAUUUAGAAUAUGUAUUGGAGUAUAUCUAGGGAAUUACUUAAUUUUCCGUCUACAUCUAUUCAAUUGAGGGGCAUACACAUAAAAUAAGGAUAGAAGUCAUGCUUGCUUAUGUAACUCCAUAGUAUUUCUUUUUAAAUUCUUAACUCGAUUGUUCGAUCUACCAUUUCAUAAAUUUUUUUUCCCCUCCUGUAUUAUUCGAGAGAUGUGUCCAAAGAGAGAUCAAAUAGGACGAGCUGUAUGCCCCUAUUUGAAGCUGAUGCUCAUGGUCUAGAAAAUUAUAUAUCUGAUUUUUUUGAAGCAGAGCGAAUCGAAUCAAUUUCAGAGCUCAAAAUUCAUAACCAUGGAAUGCCCUUACCUUUUGAUAUAUUGAUUUAAUGAAAAGAAGGAUCCGUCUUGUUCUAUGCCAUUACAAUUGCUCCUUCUCCUCAUUUGAAAUUCAGUCUCUUGGUCAAAUCACUGAUGACCUUUGAAGUACAUGUUAAUGGAAGUCCUGUGCCCCUGAGACACUUUUCUCAGUUGACUAUCAUUACAUCAACGAGUCAGUUUCAUCUCCAAGACAAAAUCAAUCACCCUGUUCUGAAACAGUUAUGUCAAAUACAGGCAUUGUCAUUGAGAAUUCCAUUAACUUACUCAACGGUAUAGUGAAAAAUAUCGAUAGCACUUUAAAACCAUCAUUACAUUUUUUGACUGAGUAACUGAAAUUUUGUAAAUCUGCUUUGAAAUUUGCUUGCAAUGGCUCUUAUUUGGAAAAAGGCAUCGACAUCUUUGUAAAAACUUAUAUUAAGGGAAGGAAUACUGAAAUUCAGUUCGAAAUUGCUAUGCAAGAAUUAGGAUUAGACUCUUUGCUGUAGUAAUCGUCGAUCUGCAAGGUACCUUCAUCAAUUAAGGCAUCUUUACGAAUAAAUUCCAUAUGGUUGAUA
rnacentral:lncRNA from 1 species